ACUGGAGGACUAAGAAGACUGAGUCUGAUGAAGCAAGACUCUGCUGAUAUAAUCCUCCUAGACAAAAGGGGUGGAGAGAGCAGCCCUUAUGGAGAGCAGACUAGGAUGUCUGCCCAGCAAAU